UACGUAGGGGGCAAGCGUUAUCCGGAAUUACUGGGUGUAAAGGGUGAGUAGGCGGUUAAAUAAGCCAUAUGUGAAAGUCUGUAGCUCAACUAUAGAAUUGCAUAAGGAACUGUGUAACUAGAGUGCAGGAGAGGUAAGUGGAAUUCCUAGUGUAGCGGUGAAAUGCGUAGAUAUUAGGAGGAACACCAGUGGCGAAGGCGACUUACUGGACUGAAACUGACGCUGAGACACGAAAGCGUGGGGAGCAAACAGG
rnacentral:rRNA from 1 species